rnacentral:lncRNA from 12 species
CAGAAAAGUAAAGAAUUUGCAUUGGAGUGUGAUCAGCUCAGACUAGCCAGUGAGUAGGGCAGUGAAUGGAGAGGUAGGGAUAUGUGUGUGUGUCAGAGGGGAAAGAGGCAGGGAUGUGUGUGUGUGUGUCAGAGGGGGAAAGAGGCAGGGAUGUGUGUGUGUGUGUCAGAGGGGAAAGAGGCAGGGAUGUGUGUGUGUGUGUCAGAGGGGAAAGAGGCAGGGAUGUGUGUGUGUGUGUCAGAGGGGAAAGAGGCAGGGAUGUGUGUGUGUGUGUCAGAGGGGAAAGAGGCAGGGAUGUGUGUGUGUGUGUCAGAGGGGAAAGAGGCAGGGAUGUGUGUGUGUGUGUCAGAGGGGAAAGAGGCAGGGAUGUGUGUGUGUGUGUCAGAGGGGAAAGAGGCAGGGAUGUGUGUGUGUGUGUCAGAGGGGAAAGAGGCAGGGAUGUGUGUGUGUGUGUCAGAGGGGAAAGAGGCAGGGAUGUGUGUGUGUGUGUCAGAGGGGAAAGAGGCAGGGAUGUGUGUGUGUGUGUCAGAGGGGAAAGAGGCAGGGAUGUGUGUGUGUGUGUCAGAGGGGAAAGAGGCAGGGAUGUGUGUGUGUGUGUCAGAGGGGAAAGAGGCAGGGAUGUGUGUGUGUGUGUCAGAGGGGAAAGAGGCAGGGAUGUGUGUGUGUGUGUCAGAGGGGAAAGAGGCAGGGAUGUGUGUGUGUGUGUCAGAGGGGAAAGAGGCAGGGAUGUGUGUGUGUGUGUCAGAGGGGAAAGAGGCAGGGAUGUGUGUGUGUGUGUCAGAGGGGAAAGAGGCAGGGAUGUGUGUGUGUGUGUCAGAGGGGAAAGAGGCAGGGAUGUGUGUGUGUGUGUCAGAGGGGAAAGAGGCAGGGAUGUGUGUGUGUGUGUCAGAGGGGAAAGAGGCAGGGAUGUGUGUGUGUGUGUCAGAGGGGAAAGAGGCAGGGAUGUGUGUGUGUGUGUCAGAGGGGAAAGAGGCAGGGAUGUGUGUGUGUGUGUCAGAGGGGAAAGAGGCAGGGAUGUGUGUGUGUGUGUCAGAGGGGAAAGAGGCAGGGAUGUGUGUGUGUGUGUCAGAGGGGAAAGAGGCAGGGAUGUGUGUGUGUGUGUCAGAGGGGAAAGAGGCAGGGAUGUGUGUGUGUGUGUCAGAGGGGAAAGAGGCAGGGAUGUGUGUGUGUGUGUCAGAGGGGAAAGAGGCAGGGAUGUGUGUGUGUGUGUCAGAGGGGAAAGAGGCAGGGAUGUGUGUGUGUGUGUCAGAGGGGAAAGAGGCAGGGAUGUGUGUGUGUGUGUCAGAGGGGAAAGAGGCAGGGAUGUGUGUGUGUGUGUCAGAGGGGAAAGAGGCAGGGAUGUGUGUGUGUGUGUCAGAGGGGAAAGAGGCAGGGAUGUGUGUGUGUGUGUCAGAGGGGAAAGAGGCAGGGAUGUGUGUGUGUGUGUCAGAGGGGAAAGAGGCAGGGAUGUGUGUGUGUGUGUCAGAGGGGAAAGAGGCAGGGAUGUGUGUGUGUGUGUCAGAGGGGAAAGAGGCAGGGAUGUGUGUGUGUGUGUCAGAGGGGAAAGAGGCAGGGAUGUGUGUGUGUGUGUCAGAGGGGAAAGAGGCAGGGAUGUGUGUGUGUGUGUCAGAGGGGAAAGAGGCAGGGAUGUGUGUGUGUGUGUCAGAGGGGAAAGAGGCAGGGAUGUGUGUGUGUGUGUCAGAGGGGAAAGAGGCAGGGAUGUGUGUGUGUGUGUCAGAGGGGAAAGAGGCAGGGAUGUGUGUGUGUGUGUCAGAGGGGAAAGAGGCAGGGAUGUGUGUGUGUGUGUCAGAGGGGAAAGAGGCAGGGAUGUGUGUGUGUGUGUCAGAGGGGAAAGAGGCAGGGAUGUGUGUGUGUGUGUCAGAGGGGAAAGAGGCAGGGAUGUGUGUGUGUGUGUCAGAGGGGAAAGAGGCAGGGAUGUGUGUGUGUGUGUCAGAGGGGAAAGAGGCAGGGAUGUGUGUGUGUGUGUCAGAGGGGAAAGAGGCAGGGAUGUGUGUGUGUGUGUCAGAGGGGAAAGAGGCAGGGAUGUGUGUGUGUGUGUCAGAGGGGAAAGAGGCAGGGAUGUGUGUGUGUGUGUCAGAGGGGAAAGAGGCAGGGAUGUGUGUGUGUGUGUCAGAGGGGAAAGAGGCAGGGAUGUGUGUGUGUGUGUCAGAGGGGAAAGAGGCAGGGAUGUGUGUGUGUGUGUCAGAGGGGAAAGAGGCAGGGAUGUGUGUGUGUGUGUCAGAGGGGAAAGAGGCAGGGAUGUGUGUGUGUGUGUCAGAGGGGAAAGAGGCAGGGAUGUGUGUGUGUGUGUCAGAGGGGAAAGAGGCAGGGAUGUGUGUGUGUGUGUCAGAGGGGAAAGAGGCAGGGAUGUGUGUGUGUGUGUCAGAGGGGAAAGAGGCAGGGAUGUGUGUGUGUGUGUCAGAGGGGAAAGAGGCAGGGAUGUGUGUGUGUGUGUCAGAGGGGAAAGAGGCAGGGAUGUGUGUGUGUGUGUCAGAGGGGAAAGAGGCAGGGAUGUGUGUGUGUGUGUCAGAGGGGAAAGAGGCAGGGAUGUGUGUGUGUGUGUCAGAGGGGAAAGAGGCAGGGAUGUGUGUGUGUGUGUCAGAGGGGAAAGAGGCAGGGAUGUGUGUGUGUGUGUCAGAGGGGAAAGAGGCAGGGAUGUGUGUGUGUGUGUCAGAGGGGAAAGAGGCAGGGAUGUGUGUGUGUGUGUCAGAGGGGAAAGAGGCAGGGAUGUGUGUGUGUGUGUCAGAGGGGAAAGAGGCAGGGAUGUGUGUGUGUGUGUCAGAGGGGAAAGAGGCAGGGAUGUGUGUGUGUGUGUCAGAGGGGAAAGAGGCAGGGAUGUGUGUGUGUGUGUCAGAGGGGAAAGAGGCAGGGAUGUGUGUGUGUGUGUCAGAGGGGAAAGAGGCAGGGAUGUGUGUGUGUGUGUCAGAGGGGAAAGAGGCAGGGAUGUGUGUGUGUGUGUCAGAGGGGAAAGAGGCAGGGAUGUGUGUGUGUGUGUCAGAGGGGAAAGAGGCAGGGAUGUGUGUGUGUGUGUCAGAGGGGAAAGAGGCAGGGAUGUGUGUGUGUGUGUCAGAGGGGAAAGAGGCAGGGAUGUGUGUGUGUGUGUCAGAGGGGAAAGAGGCAGGGAUGUGUGUGUGUGUGUCAGAGGGGAAAGAGGCAGGGAUGUGUGUGUGUGUGUCAGAGGGGAAAGAGGCAGGGAUGUGUGUGUGUGUGUCAGAGGGGAAAGAGGCAGGGAUGUGUGUGUGUGUGUCAGAGGGGAAAGAGGCAGGGAUGUGUGUGUGUGUGUCAGAGGGGAAAGAGGCAGGGAUGUGUGUGUGUGUGUCAGAGGGGAAAGAGGCAGGGAUGUGUGUGUGUGUGUCAGAGGGGAAAGAGGCAGGGAUGUGUGUGUGUGUGUCAGAGGGGAAAGAGGCAGGGAUGUGUGUGUGUGUGUCAGAGGGGAAAGAGGCAGGGAUGUGUGUGUGUGUGUCAGAGGGGAAAGAGGCAGGGAUGUGUGUGUGUGUGUCAGAGGGGAAAGAGGCAGGGAUGUGUGUGUGUGUGUCAGAGGGGAAAGAGGCAGGGAUGUGUGUGUGUGUGUCAGAGGGGAAAGAGGCAGGGAUGUGUGUGUGUGUGUCAGAGGGGAAAGAGGCAGGGAUGUGUGUGUGUGUGUCAGAGGGGAAAGAGGCAGGGAUGUGUGUGUGUGUGUCAGAGGGGAAAGAGGCAGGGAUGUGUGUGUGUGUGUCAGAGGGGAAAGAGGCAGGGAUGUGUGUGUGUGUGUCAGAGGGGAAAGAGGCAGGGAUGUGUGUGUGUGUGUCAGAGGGGAAAGAGGCAGGGAUGUGUGUGUGUGUGUGUCAGAGGGGAAAGAGGCAGGGAUGUGUGUGUGUCAGAGGGGGAAAGGCUGGAUUUGUGCUGAGCACAUGGACACAUGGAUUCAAGUGUGCUGCUGAAUUCUGCAGGGACAGACACUGUCCCCUGUGCCCCCCCUGGCACAGGACAGACUCCCCCCUUCCUUCUUCCCACCAGGGAUGACUCAGGACUCCAGGGUACUCACAGUAAUCUUUCCAGAGGCUGGGAAAGAUUGAUGUCUUGAGAUAUUUUGGGUUGUUUGGAGGAGAGAGGGAGGUCACAUCUUGCUCUGGCAAGACAAUGCCCUGCUGCACUCACCACAUCCCCCGGCCCA